rnacentral:misc_RNA from 1 species
UUAUCACAUAAGCCAAGUUCAGUGCCGCUGUUAGGUUCUGGAGACUCCUUAUGGAUCUGGGUCAGGUUUGUCUUGGACCCUCGUGACUUCCUUUUCCUAGCCUUGGGAUAGGAAUAAAUGGUGAUUUGCCUAGAGAGAGGAGAAGACUGAGAAGCAGCAGCAGAAGAAGGAGGAGGAGUAGUGGCUUCUCCUUCUUCCUUGGCAUCCAUGAAGUGAUAUGUUAAGACAGGUUUCGUGUAGCUAUUAUUACAGGUUUCUGUGUCC